UAGACCGGCGCACGGGUGCGUAACGCGUGUACAAUCUACCUUUUACUGGGGAAUAGCCCGAAGAAAUUUGGAUUAAUGUCCCAUAGUAUAGAGCAGUGGCAUCACAGCACUAUUAAAGCUUCGGUGGUAAGAGAUGAGUACGCGUUCUAUUAGUUAGUUGGUGAGGUAACGGCUCACCAAGGCAGCGAUAGAUAGGGGUUCUGAGAGGGAUGUCCCCCACACUGGUACUGAGAUACGGACCAGACUCC
rnacentral:rRNA from 1 species